AUUAGAGUUUGAUCAUGGCUCAGAACGAACGCUGGCGGCAGGCUUAACACAUGCAAGUCGAACGCCCUCUUCGGAGGGAGUGGCAGACGGGUGAGUAACGCGUGGGAAUCUACCCAUCUCUACGGAAUAACUCAGGGAAACUUGAGCUAAUACCGUAUACGUCCUUUUGGAGAAAGAUUUAUCGGAGAUGGAUGAGCCCGCGUCGGAUUAGCUAGUUGGUGGGGUAAAGGCCUACCAAGGCGACGAUCCGUAGCUGGUCUGAGAGGAUGAUCAGCCACACUGGGACUGAGACACCGGCCCAGACUCCUAGGGGAGGCAGCAGUGGGGAAUAUUGGACAAUGGGCGCAAGCCUGAUCCAGCCAUGCCGCGUGAGUGAUGAAGGCCCUAGGGUUGUAAAGCUCUUUCACCGGUGAAGGUAAUGGCGG
rnacentral:rRNA from 1 species